CUCAUAGUGCUAGUGAUACAUCUAGUCUACUUUCAUCCACUAGGCUCGUAUACUGACUGAUGCCGCUGGUCCAAACAACGUUAUGCCGCGCCAGCUAACGCACGGUUUACCAGAUAUAGCCUUUUAGAAAGUUCCUCAACGCGAUUCAUGGGUUGACUUUUGGAAAAGUGUUGUUAAUAUCUCGAUAUGCUGGCACCGUUCCGACCUGUCACCAAGGAGAGAUGCUACGAAAAUACGAACGUAUUCACUGUUGCUGCCACAGGAGCGGAAACAGUGCAGCGGAUAUGGGGUCUUCUAAAUAAUUAAGAAAAGAGGAGCGCUUUCUUUACUGCAGACUGGCACGUCAAGUAACGGUUCGGUAGAAACUUACGGAGUUUAUCCACCAACGCUAUGAAAUCUAACAGAUGACAUAUCGCAACCUCGGAUCGAGAACCAGAUUUUACGGCUGACAUUUGACAGACGGGAGACUGGAAGGGGAGCGGAAGCGAGCGACACAGUGCCGCCGCGAAAGAGCGCUGGAACACGGCUGGGAGUCCACAGACCGUCGGUGGGGCACGGCCCAUGCGGAUCUGUCGUCCAUGAUCAGACGUCGGGAAAUAAACAUGUAGCUAGCUACUGCUACUUGCUUAUAGUACAUAAAAUUCACCGUAAAUAAGUACACCGGAAAGCGGGCUUGCGGUGUCGAUUACGGUACGGUGUUCCACGUUAUUUUGACGGCGUGGCCAGAUUGACUGAUGUUAAAACCUGAUUAGGAAAAAGGGAGGAGGAGAGAGCAGGAUGGAGAGACGAGGGAAGAGGUGUCCAACCUCCCUUCUUCACCUCCACCACCACCUCAGGCCUGCAGUCUCCCUCUCUCCCCCCUCUCACCCCUUUCUGUUCCACCUGGAAGAAGACAAGACAUUGGUCAGGAGAGUUGGCCAACCUCUACAUCCUACCCCAGACCACCCUAGUUCCAACCAGACUACAAUCCUACAUCCUUCCUCUCCACCCCUCCCCAAACAGACGAGGGGGAGAGAGGAGCUUGGCCCCCCCAUCAUCCCCUUCCUCCCUCUCUCUCCCCCCUCCCAACAUGCAGCCAUGGUACAGCCCAUCCCUAGAUUGAAAUCUUGAACCACUCCAGUUGUACUCCACUGUGUGUUGAAGUGAAGCUAAAUGUUCUGAUGUGAGUGAAACUGGGCUGGACCAGACCAGACAGCGCAACCAAUAGGAAGACUGGAUCACAGGCCUCAAAUUCCACAAUCACUCAAUCAAACUUUAUUUAUAAAAGCCUUUUUACAACAACAUUUCUCACAAAGUGCUUUACAGUAGUCACCUGAUUAAACCUAUUUUUGACUUCCAAAGAGCAGGCAAAGGAAUGGCAAGGGAAAACCUCCUUACAAGUGGAGAUGUGUUAGCUAACCUCUGACCUGUGUCUGGGCUUGGCUGCUUGUUGGAUCCAGACUGUAGUAUUGAAUCUAGAGGCUUCUACUGACCAUAGCUAGGGCGUCAGCUUCUAGAAUGUUCUAUUAAGUUCUAGUACGUUCUAAUAGGUUCUAUUAUGUUCAAUUAGGUUCUAGUAUGUUCUGUUAGGUUCUAGUACAUUCUAUUAGGUUAUAGUAUGUUCUAUUAGGUUAUAGUAUGUUCUGUUAGGUUGUAGUAUGUUCUAUUAGGUUCUAGUGUGUUCUAUUAGGUUCUAGUAGGCUCUACCAGGCUGUCUCUGGCCCUGUGCUGUGGCCACCUGGCCUGUGGCCCUCCUCUCUGGCUCCAGCUUUGGGCGAGGCCCACGGUUCUCCCCCCUCCCCCUGCUCAACCUCCACCAUUCGCCCCUCCCUCGCCACGGCUGUCCUCCCCCCCCGCCC